CUUGCUUAAAUUAAAUGUUUUCAGUUACGUAUGAGCAACCUGAAGGUUCAGGCACGCAUAAAGGGAAAGAAAAGCUGUUCGAAUGAGAAUUAGUAUGAGUUAAUGGUUAUAGUUAGUAAGACAAUGGAAUCUAUUGUCAGGUAUUGUAAGGAAUGUAUUUUGAAGGUCAUGUACCUGGGGAAGUAAACUUUGAUGUAUGUAAAUUAAGU
rnacentral:lncRNA from 1 species